rnacentral:lncRNA from 1 species
AAAAAGGUUGGGUCAUAUUAAAUGGAGUAAACAAAAAAAAAGUCAGUUGUAAACAUGCCAUGAAUUCGAUUUAUGAGUAGUGAUUCAGCAACAUGUGUUAAGAGAUGCACAUGGGUUAUUUACUUGCCCACGUCCGUCAUAUAUAUGUUGCUUGCCAGUGUAUGGUUUGCUUGAUAGUCACAACAACUAUAGGAUUUGAGGCUGAAACCAUUGCCCUUUCGUUCACAUUUUCUUUUCUAAGUGUAGGAUUGUAUGUUGAGUUGUUCCACCAAGACAUUAUGUUAAAAAUACUGUAAAUUGUGCAGUCUGGUAAAGUACUCCCAUUGUAACUUAAUGUAAGACGUUUAUGUAGAUGCCGAGGUAGUAUGUUCUAAUGAAAUGAAGACACAAUAUGUUUUGUGUUUCAAGAAAAUAAAUACAUUUCAAUUUUUGAGUGAAGUGUAUCAGAGGUCGCUAAACCAUUCUCGGGGUGUCAUAUAGGUCGUCGAACAAUGAAAAUCACCGUCCAAUCCCUAAAAAUGCAAUUAGUGUGUCAUCAAGGUCCAAACUAACAUAUUGGAUGACUACCAAUUCUGAAAUGGUGCUGAAAAAACUGCCUUGCUAUUGAUUUAGGACCUUUGCGACGUAGACUUCCUCGGUGAGUUGGUGUACCAAAGGUAGCACGCCAAUGUUCAUCAGCAUUUUGUUCUCGCUAACCCUGUCCAUGUUGUUGCUAUUUCAAUUCAAGAAAAAUGAACACUGGAAUAAUUUUGAGAUACCACGAAGAACAUUUGACUAAACAAUUACAUGGUGUAUCUAUAUCUAUAUCUAUUAAUAAAGGAAAAUGUGUUUCUUCGAUUAUUUGAUCAGUUCAUCUAUAUUACUAUUUAAGUUUUAUUUAAAAAUUAUUAUUAUCCGAGGUGGUACUUUUCUUCGCACGCUCAUCCAAAUUAAUUACGUCCAAUCAAUUAGAACAGUCCGAGAUCGGAAUAGUCCGCACAACAUAUGCAUUGAUCCAACUGAUCAAAGUGUCGCCACCAGCGGAAAGCCUCUAGGCAAUGUCUCCGGCACGUGUUUUGCUACGGCUCCUCUGAUUCAGGGCCAUGGCGUGCAAGAAUCUUGGUCAGUUCCUCACCCACAAGUGUUUUUCUCUACUCCUGUAAAACUUACAUGUUCUGUGCCGUGCAAAUCUAGUAGAAAAACAAAGUCAUUGAAACUUAUGCAUCAGGGGUCAGGGAAAAUCAUCGAUACACAUAUUCGAAUGACAAAGCGGUCCACAGCUAAUCGAAGAACAAUUAUAUUAGAAAGCUUUACAAAAUGUAUAUAUUAGAACAUUUGAAUUAUCUUAGUAUAAAAUUGUAUAUGGAUUCCUAGUAUUUUCUACAAUAUAAAACUAACUACUACCAGUUCAAAAAAAUUAACUACUAUCAAAUAUUUUUUAUGUGUAAGUUGCUCAUCAUAAAAGUUCUAUAUGUAUGUGUUACAACACAUACUUUGUUUGUAGCCUUACUAUCUUUUGUAAACCUGUAGUUGUUAUGGUGAGUUAAGAUUGCGGAGAUACUACCCGCUGCUGUAAUCAUGCUCACGUCUCCUAACUCCACCCUAUCAUGGUAACUACUUUGCUUGGAAGUCUAAAAAAAUGUGAAUAUUAUGGUUACACAAGUGUAAAAAAGUCAUUUGUAAACAUUCAAACCGUUUAAUACAUAACUGAUUAAGGUAGAGAAUAAAAAAAAUCAGCUCUGUUUAAUCUACUGCACAAUUUCAUGAUGAGCAACUUUUUUCCUGUUGCAACGCAUGAUCAUGUUUGCUUGUGUGUACAGUAAUGCACCGCGGAAAUGCAUAAUCGAGUAGAAAAACUAGAACACGACGCCGGUUGCCUCUAGAACUAUUAAUCAGAAAAAUUGUCGUAUGGACAAUGUUCUGUGAAGCUACAUUGCACAUUGUUCUCCCAUUCUGUUCUGACUGUGUCAAAUUUUGUCAUGUGCACCAUUCUAAGCAUUUGUCAUUAGUUUUAUUCUAUGCAUAUCAAACAGUUAUGCAGUUUAUAUCUGGACUAAAUUAAAAUUAUUUCUAUUAUUUUGCACUAUGGAGCUUUGUUUCUCUUUUGUAUAUUGAAUGUGCUUAAGUUGUGUUCUUAUAUGCGAUAAGACGGGAUAAUUGCUCCAAGGAAGUAAACUGUACUCUGUAUUGUAGAUAUAGUGAACUUUACCUGCUCACCACUUGCAGACAUUAAAGGUGCAAAUUCAUUGGGUCCCUUGCUGGCUGGUAGAAAUGUUGCUGACUUUUGAGUCCUAGCUAUUGACCUAAUGAAAAGAGAUUAAACAUCUUUAAUAUCAUCACUUCGGCAAUCCUAUGGGUGGUAUGGAAUGAUAUGAUCAUUAACCCUAAGAUUUGGUUGAAUAUGAAGUCGGUGUGCAUCGCCUUAGGGAGCAUGCUAAGUGGGUCGGUCCAGUAGCAUUAAUUCAACAUUUCAUUUCAUCUUUAUUUAAUUUUCAUUUGUUCUUUUGUUUAUAUUUUGAGACAUUCUAAAUACAUAUAUUCCAAAUAUAGGUUAGUUAAUUUACUUUAAUUUUCUAAACAUUCACUAUGAAUAGGAGAAAUGGUAACACACUGUAAUACAUUGUUACCAUAAUUUUUAGAAAAGUUCAUAGCACUUAUAACAUUAUUCAAAAUAAUUACACGUAUACCAAAAAUGUAUGUUACAUUUUUUAAAAUGUUCAAAAAUGGUCUUGCAAUUUAUAGUUUUAAUAUCACCAAAAAGGUUUUACAAAUUUAUUUAAAAAUAAUGUAUUUUAAAAAGGCGGAUAAUGUAUUUAUAAAUUGUUAAACAUGUAUUUUUGAAAAUAUAUACUAAAAAGCCCAACGUGUAUGAAAAAAUGUUCACAUGCUUCUUCAGCUUUUUUUCCGUUUUCCCAACACAUAUCUACUUUUAUUCUAUAAAUAGUUUAUACAUCUUGAAAGUUUUUUAUUAAUUCUAAAUAUUUUUCAAAUACACAAUGUACCUUUUCCAAAUACUUAUUUUCAAUUUUUCUGGAAUACAUGUUAAACAUUUUAAUUACACGUGGAACUUUUUUAAUGGCAUGGAACAUUCUCUGAAAUUAUAUAAACACAUAAAAAAUUAAUGUCUCGGAUAUUUUUCCAGAACACGUGAAUAAUUCCUUAAGUUGCCACACACAUUUAUUUUGAAUUAAUUUUUUAUACUCCACUAAUAUUCAUUUAUUAUAUAUAUAUAUUUUUUGGGAACAAUUUUCUAAGGUAUGAUAUAAAUAAUUCAUUUUCAACUCUGCAAUUUUUUUUUAAUGCACAGUUUUUGUAAUGUGCUAAGUUUUUGAAAUGUCCCUCGCAUUUUUGUGAAUGCUAUAAACAUAUUUUAAUUAUGUGAACAUUUUUUUACAUUGUAUAAACAUUAUUUGGCCGCAUGAUUAAUGUUCUUCAAAUUAAAGAAAAUAGUUGGUUCCAUUUUAGAACUUAUAAAUAAAAGUAAUACAAAAUAUUAAAAACAUGUCUCAGAGAUUCGGGGUGACUAUAUCUUGCGCAACGGCAGAUGGUAGAAACUCUCAUUCAAAGGAGUCAACAGUUACCGGACGGCCAUUCGCACACGGGGUGUGUGGGUCCGAACACACGAUGUACACGAUGAUUUACUCAAGAGAUUACUACAUUUUCCAAAUACACGAUGUACUUUUUUCAACUAUUUGUUUUGUACAUUUUUUGAUAUACAUGUUAAACGUUUUAUUUACACGUUGAUUUUUUAAUAGGAUGAAAUGUUUUCUUAUACUAUUGAAGAAUUUUUAAAUUUCAAAAAUAUAUUUAAUGUCUCUGCAAUUUAUCAGAAAACAUGAAAAUUUCCUUAAGAUUCCAAUCACAUUUACUUUUAGCGGGAGUUAUUUUUAUACUCCAGAAUAUAUAUUUAAUUUGUAUAAUUUGAGAAUUAUUUUUGACGGAAGGAUAUAAAUAAUUAGUUUUAAACUAUGCAAUUGCUUUUGGAAAAUACAAAAGAGUUUUUAAUGCGUUAAUUUUUUGAAGUAUCCCCCACAUUUUUGUGAAUGUUAUCAACAUUUGUUUUUUAAAUUAUGGAAAGAUUUCGUUUACAUUUUAUAAAUAAUAUUUGACCACAUCAUGAAUUUUGUCGAAAUUAAAAAAAGUAGUCUCUUCUAUUUAAGAAAUUAUAAAUAAAAUCAAUACAAAACGUAAAAACAUAAUGUGUCGGAGAUUCAAGUCGACUAUAUCUCGCUCUAUGCGAGAUAUAAACUCUCGCUGUAGGUCUCAACAGGAACGGUCCGGUCCAUUCCAGCACAGGGAGAAGUGAACCCGAACUCUGAUUGACUCGAGAGAUUGCUACAUUUUUGAAAUACACGAUGUACUUUUUCAAAUACUUAUCUUAAAUUUUAUGAAAUACAUGUUAAAUAUUUGUAUUAAUAUUUGUACUUUUUAAUGGUAUGGAACAUUUUCCAAAAUUAUACAUCAUUUUUUAAGUUUUACAUACAAAUAAUAAAUGUCUCAGACAUUUUUCAGAAAACAUGAAUAUUUCCUUAAGAUGUCAGCACACUUGUUUUGCAUGGCAAUUUUUUAUACUCCAGGAAUACGUAUUUAAUUUGUAUUAUUUUAGAAUCAUUUUUGGUGGAAUGAUAUAAAUAAUUCUUGUUUGACUAUGCAAACAUUUUUUUUAAAGCGCAUGUGUUUUUAAAUGCGCUAACAUUAUGAAAUGUCCCUCACAUUUUUUGAAUGCUAUCAAUAUUUUUACCGCAUUAUGUAAAUAUUGUUUUUCAUUGUAUAAACAUUAUUUGACCGCAUGAUAAAUGUUUUUAACCUAUAUAAAAUAGUUUGUUCCAUUUUAGAAAUUAACGUAACGCUAGAGUCUUCCGUCAGAAGAGUGGUUCUCCUCCUGUCCACCUUUGUUCUAUCAUCGAUGAAGCCAAGCUCUGGGCUAUUGCGGGUGCUAAGAAGCUAGGGUGUAUUGUUGUGCCCGACUAGUUGUCAUACCGCGAAUGUGGGUCUUUUAUAACACUCUUAAACUCUUUUCUCUUAUUUAAUGAAUAAGGCAAACAAAAUUGCCUCCAUUUCAAAAAUAAAUAAAUAAAAAGAAAUACAAGAAAUUGAAAAAAAGCAUGUGUGGGAGAUUUGAGGUGACUAUAUCUCGAGUUAUGCUAGAUGGUAGAUUCGCAGCGUCCCAUUUCCGUACGGGGAUAGUGGGUCCAAACUCUGGUUCACUCCAUAUUUUCGUAUAUAUCAAUUUUGUUUGAUAGUGAUCAACAUUUUUGUAUACAUGUUCAAUAUUGCAUGAAGGCUAAUUCAACAUUUUUGAAUACUUGUUCAACAUUUUAAUGCCUAUUAAAUAAAUCAAAUUCAUGUUCAACAUUUUUCAAAUAUUUUUUUACUUUUUCUAAUAAUUAUUCAACAUUUUCAAAUACUUGUUCAAUAUUUUUAAUGCUUAUUCGAAAUUUUCAAAUACUUAUUCAGAAUUUUACAAAUACUCGUUCAACAAUUUUUAAUACGUAUUCAACAUUUGCCAAAUACUUGUUCAACAUUUUAAAUAUUUAUUCAAAAUUUUCAAACACCUGUUUAAUAUUUUUGAAAUACUUGUUUAACAUCAUUUAAUAGUUAUUCAACUUUUUUAAAUAAUUGUUCAAUAUUUUUCAGAAAAAAAUUACGAGUUUAUUUGCAUAUAUACAUAGAAUUUGGUACCCGUCAAACUCCGCCCUUCGGUCUAUGCCUCCAUCUUAGAGAUCUCGUAUUGCAUCAGUUAUCGUGUUGACGUCCACAUGCUACAAACUGUUAGCUGGUCAAAAAAAAUUAGCCAUUCACUCACUCGGUCAGUCACCCCUUUGUUGGACCGGUCAACCAUUGACCUAGUUCAUCAUUGGUCGUUGUCCAGUUGACCAUUUCAUAGUAGAUAGUUGAAAAAUGAAAAACGUAAAUCUAAAAAACUGUAAACUAUAUAAAAUUUUAAAAGUGCACAAAAUUUGGGGGAAAAUCACCAAUUCAGGAAAACUCAAAAAAUUGCAAAAAGGUGCUUUAAGUUGAGUGGUUUGUGUUGACUAGUCCUCGUUGUGCACGUCCACAACCAAUGAGCCUAGUUUCUACGCGCGGCCGAGUGCAUGUUCUCGUCCUAACCACCAGGCCGAGCAUGACACUUCUGGUUUGUUCUCCCUUCCACGUGCUAGCGACUUCUCACGACCUGGAAGUCUUUGCGUGUGGAACACCCUAUUUUACGCACUCUGCACCAAAGGGUCGACCAAAAGCACAUGCACGCGAUCAACUGGGCUUGUCCAUCUUGGGGUGUAUGUAUAGUUUGCAGUUCUGAUUUUGGGAACCUUCCAGAAAAUUCCUCAUGGUUUUUUAUAGGUUUUGGGAACCUUCUAAAAGGUUCUUGAACAGGUUUUACUUUUAUUUUGAUUUUCUUUUUUAGUUGCAUUUUUCUAAAAAAAACUAAGUAUCCAAUUUUUGCUCGCGUUUCCAAAUUUUGUCCAAUAUUUUAAAAACUGUCCAAAGUUUUAAAAGUUGUUUGUGUUAUACUUUUUUGACAAGUUUUACAAACAUGUUUCUAUUUAAAAAAAACUCAAGUGUGAUCUUCUGGAUUUUCAAUUUUUUCUCGGAUUCAAAAUUUUGUUCUGCAUUUGAAAAGUUGUACCUGUUUUCAAAUUUUCUUUACCAAUUUAUAAAAUGUUUAAGUUUUCAAAAGAAAAUCUGCAAUUUGAAAUUUUGUUUGUAUUUUUACGAAAUAUGUUUGAAGUUUUAUGAAAAUGUUUCCAUUAUUUUUUGUUCACAUAUACAAAAGAUCUUCGGGAUUUUAAAUUUAUUCUCACGUUCAAAAUUUUGUUCUGCAUUUCAAAACUUGCACCCGUUAUCAAAUUUUGUUCACCAUUUUUUUUCUGGAAUUUUAAAUUUUUAGUCACGGUCUACAAGAAAUGUUUGGAGUUUUAGAAAAAUGUUUCCAUUUUUUUCCGUAUGCAAAAAAUAUUUGGGAUUCUCAAAUUGUUCCCAGAUUCAUUCUUUUACAUUUCAAAAGUUGUACACAUUUUUAAAUUUUGUUCAGAUAUUUUAAAAAGGUCUGCAUUUUCAAAAAAUCUUCUAGAGUUUGGAAACUUUUUAGUUUACAAAACAUUUUGAAAUUUGCAAAAAUAUUGACGUUAUAGAUAAUUUUUUAGUGUGUCAAAAGAUGUACGAUGUUUGAAUAUGCUCGGGAAUUUAAAAGUUCUAUGCAGUUUCAAAAGAUGUUCAGAAAUUUCAAAAAUUAUUCGUGUCUGUUAAAAAGUAUUCAUUAUUUCAAAAAAAAAAGUGUUUGCAGUAUUUUAAAUAAUCCUUACUUUAGGCCAUUGUUUUUUUUUCAUUACACGUCGCACCACACAUUUGUCACGAACCCUUUGUAGUUAUGGUUGCUAGCAUGAUGCGUGCAUAUACUGAAGGUUUGUAGUUCGAAUUCAAUACCGCUUGCGCGAGUUCAAUCCCAAUGGGCCGGCACAGUGUGGUACAUCUUGUGCGAAGGGAGGUCUUUGGCUAUAAUGCUUCAAAUGGGUGCUCCCUAUGCGUGCCAUUACAAGUAUGACUUCGUACUCUUCGGAGUCAUCCUUGCGGUCGACAUCGUCUGCCACAUCGUGCUUGUUGCCAACACAGUUAACAAGUUUAUCUUUGUGAUGAUGAUCUUGUGGGCAACAAUUAAUUCCAUCUUCUUCUGAUCUGUGAGAGCCUUUUCUCUUGUUUAUGCGCUGAAUGCAAUGCGCUAGUCACAGCUGUGCUAGCACCUGCCCACAACGAUACAAUGCUCGUCGUAGAUGUCUUCCAUAUGCCUCUCAUUUGGAAGAAAAAAUAUGCAUGGACGAUACUGCACACAUCGAGCGUCGAGCCAUCGACACGAUCGAAGUGCUCCGCUCUUCGUAUUGUAUAAUGGGUAGCUGCCUAUGAGGAGCUUGUGUUGUGGCUACCUGUAUCAAAAUAUUAGGCACGCUAGGAUUGGAGCUACGUUUUAGAAGUCGAGAGGGACAAGGACAAGAGUUGGUGUUUCACACUAGGAUGUCCAAGAUAGAAAAUACAUGAGCACUUAUAUAUAGCUGAUUGAUCAAAAGGGUCGGGUCAUAUUAAACGGAGUGAACAAAAAAAAUGUCUGUUGUAAGUAUGCCUUGAAUUCGAUUUAUGAGUAGUGGUUCAUUAGCAUAUGUUAAGAGAUACACAUGGGUUAUUUUACCUACCCAUCUUCCAUCAUUUAUAUGUUGCUUGCCAUUGUAUGGUCUCCUUAAUGGACACAACAACCGAGGAUAUGAGGCUGAAAUCAUUGCUCUUUCAUUCACUAAAAUUUUCUUUUCUAAGUGUAGGAUUGUAUGUUGGGUUGUUCCAUCAAGACAUUAUAUUAAACAUGCCAUAAACCGUGUAGGUUGGUAAAUCAAGUACUCCCACUGUAACUUAAUGUAAGCAUGUAUGUAGAUGCCAAGGUAGUAUGUUCUAAUGAAAUGAAGACACAAUAUGAUUUGUGUUUAGAGAAAAUAAAUACAUUUCAAUUUUUAAGAGAAGUGUAUCACAGGUCCCUAAACCAUUCCGGUGUACCGCAGAGGUCAUCGAAUAUUGAAAAUCCAUGUCCAACCCUUAGAAGUGCAAUAAGUGUGUCAUCUAGGUCAAAGCUGACACAUUGGCUGACUACCAAUUCUGAAAUAGUACCCAAAAAAUUGCCUCGCAAUUGAUUUGGGACCUUUGCGACGUCGUCUUCCUUGGUAAGUUGAUGUACCAAAGGUAGCACGUCAAUGUUGGUUAGUAUUUUGUUCUUGCUAACCAUGACAACAUGUUGUUGCUAUUUCAAUUCAAGAAAAAUGAACAUGGAUAAUUUUGAGAUGCCACGAAGAACAUUUGACUAAACAAUUGCAUGGUGUAUAUAUACCUAUUAAUAAAG